GGACGGUGGUGCAGGGGCCUCGGUCCUGAGCACCCCAGCCCAGGAGUUUGACCAUCCAGAGGAGCAGCUCCGGCAGCGGAGAAGCCCCGCACGCCCGCAGCCCGGGGUAGGACCGUGCGGAGAAUACGCUGGAGCCCAGUGCGUCGGCAGCAGGCAGGACGGAAAACCAAGCCAGAGGCGGGAGGGGCUGGCCUUCUGGAGAAGAGAAGGCCGUUUCCUGUCUACUUGGGAGACCCACAAAUAUUUUAUGAUGACUCUUGGAGCACCCCCUCCCCGCAAAACCAUUUUCUUUCCUCAUGAAUUUGUGGGAGCCACCCGGACUAAGGCAGAAGUAACAGAAGAACCGGAAUCGAUGUAAACAACCUAAGAGGAAUACCUCGGAAAGAAAAGAAAUAUGAUUUUUCCUGAUACACAUUUUUUAUUUUGAAAAAUCAUGAAGAUCUCCAUUAGGAAAUCAUUCUUCCCUGGCAUUGUGUUGCGUGCUCAACAAAUAGAAGUGGCUGUAGAGCAAGAAAUCUAAGGAUGACAUUAAAAGAAGACGUGACUAUGCCAGUGAAGCACUUGGAAAUUUCAGAUGAAAUAUGCUGCAUAAAAUCCACUGGGUGUGUCUGUAAUCUGAACUGAGGAAUUUGCAGAGGUGAAAUUGUCCAGGAAAUCGUUUUCCCAGAUGCUCUGUUUUCUGAUUUGAUGUUAGAGAAGCUGUCCUCCGAGGUGAACAUGGAAACUCACUGCACCUCAGGGAAAAACGGAGGAAUCCUGCAGAGGAUAUAUUACAUUUUCACUCCCUGCUCCCCCCCAAAAAUCUCUCAAAUGCAGCCAUGAUGCCAACCUCCUGAAUUAAAAAUGGAUAAACACAGUCAAUGUUUUACUAUCAUUACAUAUUUUCCAGACUACAGAAUACAGAAUUCUAUCACCAGCACGGAGUAUUUCCUACUUUCAUUACACAAUUUGGAGGCUGUGAAGUGAAAAUACACUUGAUUUAAAUAGCAGUGUAUAAAUCUGACAUCCUUCUCUACAAGACAUAUAUUUAUUCAGCAAACUUUGACUGAGCACCUAUUAUGACAGACCAGCCCUGUGCUGUGCCCUGCAAUGCUUAGCUGAAAGAAUCUGCACCCCAGAUGUGCUUACAGCUCUCCAAGGAAGACAUCGCGCACCGUCGCUAGGCCACCGUGUCGCUUGCCGUAAUGAAGGCGGAUGGGCAAGGUUAAGGAAGUGCUCAGGAAUGAUUAAUUCUGCCUUUGAGAGAGAAGUAGAAGAUGAGAGCAUGUGCCAAGAAAGGUUCAGUCCAACUGGUGUUUCAGUGAGAUGGCCUCCCCGAUGGUGUAGAGGCUGCUGCAGGCAACACCAACCCUCUGUGCAUUGACUCUGGGCCCUCGCAUAUUACAUGAUGAUUUAAAAUGUUCUUCAGUGGAGUCUGUCUCUGAGGGCAGAUGAGUAUGGAAAGAUUCUGUGUGGCCAUUCUAACCUAGACCACAGUGAGAAGGCUAGGGCUCUGCGGGGCGCACCUCACCUCCGUGUAGAUGGACCCGGUGCACGGUGGCUGGAGCAUUUCUGAUGACCCCUGCAUAACAUCCUGUUCAGGCACAGGCUGCAGUUGUUCCCUUGUCUGGACAAGAGCUUCUAACUGAGGAUGCACGAGGAACUGACGUUGUGGGGAAGGAGAAGAAGGGAUAGGGGAGAGAGUGAGACCAGAGAAGGGGAGGCUGCAGGUGUGGAACUCAUCUGGCUUCAUUUCAAUAUUGCUCUCCCAGAUUCCAAAUGGAAAAUAGAACUGAACACCCAUGAUUAAAAAAUGCAAUACAUGCUAAGAAAGUCUAAAGUAAUUUACACCGGGCAUUAAAGUGUUUUGCAUGAGAAUAUAGUAUGAUGGAGACAACCGAAGAAUUAUGGCUUUCAUUAAAAGGUUUGCAACUCAGUGUGCUGUGAUAUAACUAUAGCAGUUUUUCUGUCUUGGUGAUGGUUUUUUAUUUUAAACACUGCCUUCCAAACCAAGGAAUGCAAAUGUGUCGGGAGCGCUCAGCCUGGGGGUUUUAACUUGCUGCCACCUCUUACUAAUCACUUCCCUCUAGGACUUUACCUGCUGAUGCCAAGGUGAAAGGUGAGCAGUUACACCUCUAUGGCCCUCAACCUCCCAUAUCCUGAGCCCAGCUAUAAAGUAAACUGUCAUCUCUUUCUUCAUUAUUCAAAGUUAGCAUUCGCUAGUUCAAAGCCCAUUUGAGAUUAUGCAUCAAGAAUGAUAUACAUUAAGGUUGGGAUUAAAGGAAAAUCAGUUACAUGAAAGAAAGGUGUUUUUGCCACAAAUCUUGUGUGUGCAUGUCAAGAAGUAUAUUCAUUGCCUAAUUUAAAAAGAAACCAGGACAACUCCCAGAGAUAUAUACCUGCAUCUGGCCAGUCUUUCAAUGAGGACGCUUUCUGUUUGAAGUUUGGCUGUGAAGUUAGAGGAAAAACAUCUUUCCCUGGCUAGCACAUGCUGCUUGUUUAAAAAAAAAAAAAUGCUGGAUGGAAUUCUGAUUAUAGGCACUCAUUAAGAGUAAAAUCAAAAGUUGACUUCAACCUGAAUCUGCUUAGACAGGGUAAGAAAACUGGGCUUAGCAGUAAGAGAGACAGAUCUAGGCUAGCAAUAGGAGGAGUUAGAUGAACUUUCACAAUCUCUUUUAACCCAGGGAUUCCAUAAUUUUAUCAGUUACUGCCUAACUGAAUUCCUGGUCUUGCUGGCCUGUUUGGAGCAACUUUUCACUGAUUUGAUACAAAUUUUGAUGAUGCUUAUUUGGAAUUAAGGGAAUGACAAGAAGCCAGGCACUGAAUUAGGUGCUUUUCACGAGUCCUCCCGUUGGAUCCUCACAUCAGUUCCUCGAUUCAGAUUAUUAUGAAUUUCUACCACACGUCAUCCUCCCCCUGCAUAGUUUACCAUAUUCCUUGGACCUAUCUUUAAAUUGGGCACGUGGGGGUCUCAGAUCUGAUGCAAAACCGAAUUUUAAACUACUGCGAUCAAGUUCUGUACAAUGUCUGGGACGCCGUGAGCUCAUGCAUGUUAAACAACCCAAAAUCACGAUGCCUGUGUUCUGCUGGGUCAGUUUAUAACCCGUACAGAGGACAGAAUGUGCAAACCGUAUGUGUGAAGGUGAAUUUACGAAGAUGCUGGGGCUCUGGAGCAACCUGGCUCCAGAGACUGAAUGCCUCCUGGUUUCUGUGAUGUUCCUAAUUCCACCCUGGCUCCCGGCACGUCUGGCGUUAGGAAUGGGUUUGAUAAAUGUGUGUGGAACUGAACUGAGGCACACUAACCUCUCUUCCAGGCCCCCCCUAAAUCGCCCCUGGUCCUCUCGCUUCCAAAUAUUAUGAUGGGAAGGUCAGAGGGGCAAGACCUUCCCAUGUGUUUCUGGCAUUCCCUCUGAUCAAGACUUGAUAAGCCAGAGUGUUAUCUGAGGCCUCCAAAGCAGAUGCUCAGGACCCGGUUCCACUUUUAACUCUGAGUCAGCUUUUGCUAAAGGACUUAUGGGGUCUGGAUAGGAGCUCUGUGAUCUGUGGGAUUUGAAGAGAAGCACCCGAUUCUUCUGUAACUUGGGGAGGGCGCAGAAUAUUGCGGUGGGCAGACACUAGUGGAAACCAUACCUCUGUCUCAUGGUUUUGCACCCAGCUUAGGCAUCUCAUCACUCCCAUCUGGUUUUGCUCUUGUCUAACAAAAACAUCAAAGCAGACUUGGCAAGGAUCAUCGCCCAAAUAUGCUUUCAUUGUCUCUGUCAGUGAAUCUCUGUCCAGUCACUAAGGGAGAAUGUCUUGCUGUGGUUAAUGUCACUUGUUUCGUGGAAAACACUAACUUAAGCAACUGUACCUAAUCCUGAAUAAAUCCAAUGGCUUUAUAAUGAAAGAGAAAACAAACAUUUACAGAGUCGCUUAAUUUGAUCCAGGCAUUUUAUUUCAUGCAACUCUGUUCCUAAAUAUCUAUCUUACCGGUAAGGAAGCACAGGGUCCGAAAGAUUAGACAAUUUGCUCGUGAUCACAGGGUGUCGUGGUGGAGCUAGUGACGGAGUUAGGAUUCGUACUGAGGUCCAUUUGAGAAGAGAGUCCUAGUUCUUCUGCCGAACUCUUAAGACCUUUACUGGAUCAGGAGAGACACAGAAUCACUGACUCGUUACUCUGCUUCUCCAUCCGGACGUGGCAUGAGCUACUCAGGGCUGUGUCUCUCUUCCAAGGAGGAUCCACGAAGUGUUGACACUCACUUCUGUGGACGUGCACACGGACGCCCAGCUGUGUUCAGAUGUAAACAACUGCUACCACCAGAAAAUAGCCCAACCUCAUUGAAAUGGUGAAAGGGACCUCAACAUAUUCUUUAUAUUUGCUUCCUAAUCAUCAAAGUGAAACCUGGAUAUAAUAGACAAUGCAUUUAUUCACGUGGCACUCAGGCGCGCCCCACCACCAAAUAACCCAGGCACGGUCAAGCAGUUUGGCAACUUGGAAAUGGUUCCCGGCCUUCUCCAUGAAAAGAUGUGUAAUCAGUGUUUGGUAGAUGUUCGAUAAGUAUCUGAUGAGUGUAGUUGGGACUCUAUGUUGGAGGGUGGAAUGCUAAGCCACCACCCCGUUUUGUGGCGACGGAAAGUGGUUACUUCCUUGUAGCGCCCUGAUACACUGCCACUCUCUCGGGGAUCGACACCCCCUACCACCAUAGCUACAGUGUAAGAGUUCUAGAAUGCGGCUCUGUGGGCAACGUUUCCCUGAUGAGGUUUCUACCAGAUUGUCCUCUAAUGGGUAGCUGUUAUCUAAGAUUUGCCAACAACUGUUUCAAGGAAGAACUGUUUCCCCAUCUCUCCCUGGCCACAUGCCCAUCUUCUCACUACCACCAUAUGCAAAUGUGGCUCAUGGAACCAUCACACAGCUGUGACAUGAAUAACCAUCUCUGAUCCUCCGUCCCAUCAACAGUGAAGGGAGUCAUUCUUCGGACUUUGAGAAAGAAAGGAAAUUCUUCAGAAAUGUUUAGAGACUGUCCCAGGAUACUUAUAUCUCAACAUUGAGUCAAAGUUAGCACACCAGGUCUUCCUGUGAACUCAGAAGUAAAAAUCAAUGGAAAGACACCCCCCCCCCCCACAAGACAGUGGUUAAUACCCGGAUACAUUCAUACUCCCAGCUGUUUUUACGACACCAGUCUCAGAGGAUUUCGUAGGAGUGCUCUCCCUGCAGACGGCGGGAAACCUGUACGUGCUUAUGCCUUUGUGCACCAUUUUUCUACUUCUACAAGUUACAGGACAGAUUUUCCUUACCUGAACUUGAAAUAACCAUUAUUUUGCCUCUCCUCUCCAUUUCUGCUAUUUGUUUUUGGCUGUUUUUCUGAAAUGAGAAUAAUGGCAAGAAAUAAAAAAAGAAGUAUCGUUCAAGCUUUUUUUUUUUUUUUAAUGCUAGGGUUUACUUAAAAGAGGUGUUUAUAAAACAGGUAAAGUUCAGCUUGCUGGCCUCUUUGGUGUAGAAGGUGAAAACUAUGGAAGAAGGCCAACAUGCUAACUGAUGCCUGAGAAAAACUGCAUCCCCACCAGGAGCUUGGAAGGAAAGCCACGGAAUGGAAGGCACAAAAUAAUUGCAAAACAUCUCGGAAAUCUUGUUCUGAGCCAUAUGAUGAGCUAUCCGUGUCUCUUCAUGGAUUGGUUUCUUGUUUUGUUUUGUUUGUUUUGUUUUGUUUUUAAGAAAAAUGAGAUGAGACACUUUUAAUUUUCCCCUCCUCUGUAGUCUUGGAGGUUGUUUAAUCUCAAGUGAACUCAAUUCACAUUUUCCUGGCAGUGUUAGCUAUCAGCUCAAAGCAUUUUACUCAUUGCAUCAUACUGCCAGUCAGCAAGCAGGGACCUAAUUAGCUCUUUGCUUUAAUGGCAAUAGUUAAAUUUACAUUAUUAAUUCAAAUAUUACAGACUCUGUGGACUUGGGCACAUAGCUGACAUAAAGAUGUAAAAUGAAUAAUAAGGUGCUGAAAAACACCAGAGUCAUUAUUCCCAUCAUGUUCAAACUUUGAGCUAUAAUGAUAUCAAUUAAAACUCUAAUCCUGGCAAAAAAAAAAAAUAUUUUAAAAAAAAGCAAAAAGCUUUGCCGGGUCCCUUUUGUUAUAAAAGCUGCAGUUAUAUUUAAAUGUUGGGCUGAAGUAUUCAAGUUAUACUUUGCAAAAUACAAUGGUCGCAUAAGUCAAGAGGCAUAAUUACAGUUCUGAUUACAUUUUUGCUUUUAAAAAAUUCCCAAACAGUAAAAAUAUAGUGAGUUUGUCAGCAUCCUGUUGUGCAUCCCUGGCUCUUCCUACGUCCUGAAACCCUGCAAUCACUCUGCAGCGUCAAAACCUGUUUGGGUUGCAAGACAGAUGGGACCUUCAAAAUGAAAUGUACCUAUGACUGUUUGCUACUAUAUAUAUAAAAUGUCUCAUUUAGUCUCAUCUGUGAUUUUCCAAGAGGAAAAUGUUUCCUGGAGCAAUUUAUCUCAGUCCUACAGGUUUGUAUCACUGAAUGACCAUCUGAAAAGCAGGACCCGAGUCUUUUCUUAAAGGGAAACUGCAUGUGUUGGGGAUGUUUCUCCAUGCAGUAGUGGAACAGUAUU